CCUACGGGGGGCAGCAGUGAGGAAUAUUGGUCAAUGGACGAGAGUCUGAACCAGCCAAGUAGCGUGAAGGAUGACUGCCCUAUGGGUUGUAAACUUCUUUUAUAUGGGAAUAAAAUGUUCCACGUGUGGGAUUUUGUAUGUACCAUAUGAAUAAGGAUCGGCUAACUCCGUGCCAGCAGCCGCGGUAAUACGGAGGAUCCGAGCGUUAUCCGGAUUUAUUGGGUUUAAAGGGAGCGUAGGUGGAUUGUUAAGUCAGUUGUGAAAGUUUGCGGCUCAACCGUAAAAUUGCAGUUGAAACUGGCAGUCUUGAGUACAGUAGAGGUGGGCGGAAUUCGUGGUGUAGCGGUGAAAUGCUUAGAUAUCAUGAAGAACUCCGAUUGCGAAGGCAGUUCACUGGACUGCAACUGACACUGAGGCUCGAAAGUGUGGGUAUCAAACAGGAUUAGAUACCCGUGUAGUC
rnacentral:rRNA from 1 species